rnacentral:tRNA from 1 species
AGAGACAUGGCUCAAGUGAUAGAGUACUUACCUAGCAAGCAUGAGACCCUGGGAUCAAAUCCCAGUAUUGCUG